rnacentral:rRNA from 1 species
GACGAACGCUGGCGGCGUGCUUAACACAUGCAAGUCGAACGGAAAGGCCCUGCUUUUGUGGGGUGCUCGAGUGGCGAACGGGUGAGUAACACGUGAGUAACCUGCCCUUGACUUUGGGAUAACUUCAGGAAACUGGGGCUAAUACCGGAUAGGAGCUCCUGCUGCAUGGUGGGGGUUGGAAAGUUUCGGCGGUUGGGGUUGGACUCGCGGCUUAUCAGCUUGUUGGUGGGGUAGUGGCUUACCAAGGCUUUGACGGGUAGCCGGCCUGAGAGGGGGACCGGCCAAAUUGGGACUGAGAUACGGCCCAGACUCCUACGGGAGGCAGCGGUGGGGAAUAUUGCACAAUGGGCGGAAGCCUGAUGCAGCAACGCCGCGUGCGGGAUGACGGCCUUCGGGUUGUAAACCGCUUUCGCCUGUGACGAGGCGUGAGUGACGGUAAUGGGUAAAGAAGCACCGGCUAACUACGUG